rnacentral:lncRNA from 1 species
CGGGAAUCAAAUGUUGUCCGUGCAUUAACUCAUGAACCGUUCAACCGAAGCUUUUAAAAUUUUAAUAUGUUGUUACUGACAACUAAAUGAAGGUCAAGUUCAAUAAUGGCGAUUUUGACUUUUACCGUUCAGGAGUUAUGGUUCUUGAAAGAUUGAAAAAUGGAGUUUCCAGUCGUGUUCGUGCAUUAACUCAUGAACCGUUCAACCAAAGCUUUUAAAAUUUUAAUAUGUUGUUACUGACAACUAAAUGAAGGUCAAGUUCAAUAAUGGCGAGUUUGACUUUUACCGUUCAGGAGUUAUGGUUCUUGAAAGAUUGAAAAAUGGAGUUUCCAGUCGUGUCCGUGCAUUAACUCAGGAACCGUUCAACCAAAGCUUUUAAAAUUUUAAUAUGUUGUUACUGACAACUAAAUGAAGGUCAAGUUCAAUAAUGGCGAUUUUGAUUGUUACCGUUCAGGAGUUAUGGUUCUUGAAAGAUUGAAAAAUGGUGUUUCGAGUCGUGUCCGUGCAUUUUCUCAUGAACCAUUCAACCAAAGCUUUUGAAAUUUUUAUAUGUUGUUACUGAUGACAAAAUAG